rnacentral:lncRNA from 1 species
AAAAUAAGCCAAUAAUAUUGGAUACCCAUCAAUAGUUUUUUUGUUUAAUAUGCACAAACAAGUCAGUCUUGACCAUAUACAAAAAAAAAAAUCGCUAUUAGAUCAAUAAAUCUCAUCAUAUCUUAUUUUAUUCAAUUGUAAGACUAAUUGAUCAAAUGAUUAAAAAAAACAAAAUUGUAUAUAAUACAAGACUUAUCUCACUUCUGCGCACUAUAAAAUUGCCCCUCUGAAAGCAUAAGUAUAAAAUUGCAAUGAUUCAAUCAAGAAGUCCUAGCUUAACUGGCAAAAUGCCGAAAUUGUUAGGCCGGAUGUCAUGACCGGGGUUCGAAUCCCGAUACCUCCACUUGUGUAUACUUGUGUAUGUAAGUUUAUAAUGGCUUUGCCAUUUCGUCUAUCUACCCAAAAAAAAAAAAAUUGCAAUGAUUCACAAGACAGAAACUGAUCCUCAUUCACAAUGAGCCAAAAUAUGUGUGCUAGUACUUACACUUAGACCUCCUCAACACUCAGGGAUGAAGAUUUAAUCAUAAACACGUCCAACUCCAUUUGCCA